GUUACAAUGAUAUAAUUUCAUAAUGAUCCUGACAGUGAGGUGUGACUGUAUCCAUCCGACAGGUACGUUCCUGAGCCCUAGAGAGCAUCACAAUCUAUGCUGAAGUCACUUGGCCAGGAUUCAACGCCAAGUCUGAGUCCAGAGAUCAGAACCCACUGCAUCUCAACAGGCUGUUUCCCAGAAGGAAGCAGCACUCAGCAUCACAAGGACAGAGACCAAGGAAUCUCUCUGCAGAGGUCACGGAUGGACUUAAGUCCAGGAGCCCAAGGGAGAGCGGAAGGAAGCUGGAGAGCCCAGAGCCUGCCCCUGACCCUGACUAUGAGUAAACAGUGGCAAGGAGAUCAAACCAGUCCAUCCUAAAGGAAAUCAACCCUGAAUAUUCAUUGGAAGGACUGAUGCUGAAGCUGAAGCUCCAACACUUUGGCCACCUGAUGCAAAGAGCCGAUUCAUUGGAAAAGACCCUGAUGCCGGGAAAGAUUGAAGGCAGGAGGAGAAGGGGACAACAGAGGAUGAGAUGGUUGGCUGGCAUCACUGACUCAUGGACAUGAAUUUGAGCAAACUCCAGAAGGUGCUGGAGGAGAGAGAAGCCUGGUGUGCUGCAGUCCACGGGGUCGCAAAGAAUCUGACACAGCUUAGCGACUGAAGAACAACAGACAGAGGCUCAGGUGGGUGAUGACAUUUGCCAGUAGUCACCAGUCAGUGGCAGAAUGGGGACUCGAACCCAGGGCUGUCUGACCUCUGGCUGGAGUUUCUAACCACUUGACCACACUGCCUAGGAACAGGGUAUACCUCCCGGCAGUAAGAGUCUAAACCAGCAGGAGUUCCCAGCUGGAGACAUGAUCUAAGUGCCACUGUCUGAAUGUCUGUGAGCAUUUCUCGUUGUUUCAAGAAAAGGCGACGUCAGUGGCCCCAUUAAAGCCUGCUGUUCCCCAUCCCAUCCCUGCCAUCCCCACGUAUUAAAAUAAUGGCGUGAGAAAUAAACAGCCUUUAUGGACAAUUUCAUACAAAUGGCACGCACUGUUUGUUUCUCUUACCGUUACCAUGGCAGUGAUGGUCUC
ensembl:lincRNA